AGUGAACGCUCGCGGUAGGCCUAACACAUGCAAGUCGAACGGCAGCACAGUAAGAGCUUGCUCUUACGGGUGGCGAGUGGCGGACGGGUGAGGAAUACAUCGGAAUCUACUUUUUCGUGGGGGAUAACGUAGGGAAACUUACGCUAAUACCGCAUACGACCUACGGGUGAAAGCAGGGGAUCUUCGGACCUUGCGCGAUUGAAUGAGCCGAUGUCGGAUUAGCUAGUUGGCGGGGUAAAGGCCCACCAAGGCGACGAUCCGUAGCUGGUCUGAGAGGAUGAUCAGCCACACUGGAACUGAGACACGGUCCAGACUCCUACGGGAGGCAGCAGUGGGGAAUAUUGGACAAUGGGCGCAAGCCUGAUCCAGCCAUACCGCGUGGGUGAAGAAGGCCUUCGGGUUGUAAAGCCCUCUUGUUGGGAAAGAAAAGCAGCAGGUUAAUACCCCGCUGUUCUGACGGUACCCAAAGAAUAAGCACCGGCUAACUUCGUG
rnacentral:rRNA from 1 species